rnacentral:misc_RNA from 1 species
GCCGAAUUAAAACAUGAUGAUUAUAAAAUUAAAUCUGAUUUAUUUGAAAAAAAAGUUAAAAUUAUGUACAAAUAAAUGGGAGGAUGAAAGUAAAUUAUAUAACACAUAUAUACAAGAGUUGUAUAACCAACUUCUGAGAGGAUAAGCUACCGGGGUUUUUAGACGUCGAAGUACUUGGGAUCCGAUGGAUAAUCAUAUUCUACAUGUAGCUUGCCCUCAUCAGCAUCUGAAUGUCGUUGAGGGAACACAACUCUCAGGUCAUUGUAUAAAUAGAACCUGCGUUGUCCUUCCGCAUCUAAAUGUGUCUUCUGUGGAACAGAUGCAGGAUCAGAUUUACAUCUCUGAACUGAUCUAGAAGACAUUUUUGGUGAAGGGCAAAGAAAACGUAGGUGGAGUGCAUAACGCAGAGCACCACCAUGGGCAUUAUCAUUGAUCUUUGAACAACCAUGAGUUGAUCUUCUGUCAAUUCCAAUGCAUGUAUUCACCCCAGUGCAGUCCUUCCCAUUAGACCCCGGGCGAUUACCACUACUGCAGUCAUUGUGAAGUACAAUAGAAUCAACACCUGCCUUUCCCACACUUUGUGAUUGCGUGGACAAAUUCUGUGUCUGUAUUGAAUCUACUAUAUCAUGGCAUUCAUUCCCUUUGACUUCAUUUUGGCCAAUAGAAGCAACUGAAUUUACAGGAUGGUUUUUCUGUGACACUGUAGUCACCUUGUCUCUCAUUUUUUUGUCUAAACCUAUAUGCCCAUGUUUCAACUCUGACGAAGUUGUUCCAGAAGAGGCUAAAGUUACCUUCUGACGCAAGAAUGUUUUGGUACCAGCCGGCAUGUCACUCAAAUCAUAGUUGCAAAGAAAGGUGUGGAGAGGGGUCUUUUCUGGAUUGCUAAGGACCAGCUGUACACGCCCUUUCAUAGGAAUACGAAAGCAGCUCCUGACAGUCUGUGAAUCAUCAUUACUUAAGCCUCUUCUCAAUUUUUGGCCCCUAUGCUUGUUUGAUGAAUUUCCUGCAAGGUCUAUGGAUGCAUAAUAUAGCAAAUAACAAUCUCCAUCAACACUGGUCACUGAAAAAGGAAGCUUCUGUGAUUGCGGUGAAAAAUUCCCUCCCGUAAUGCUUAACACGGCUAGGAAACCGUCUAUUCUCUGGGUGAAUUUUCCAGAAAAGAACCGUCCAGACAGUAAUGAUUCCUCAAAUGAACCAACCAAGGAC